rnacentral:miRNA from 1 species
UGGGAGAGGAGGGAGAUG